CUAAUAGUUAUAUAUUUAUCUUAAAGAUUAAACUAUAUAUAUCUAAAUAUAAGUAAUUAUAUAGCGAAACUAUAAAUAGCUUAUUAUAUAAAUUAUUAUUUAUUUAAUAGUAUUUUACUACUUAGAUAAUUAUAAUAAUUCUAAAGCUAAUAUAUAUUAAAAAUCCCGAUUUUAGAAAGGAUAUAUUUAUUAGAUUAAAAACUAAUACUUUUUAAAGCUUACUAGUAAUUUAUAAUAACUUCUUAAAUCAUAUAGUUUUAUACUAGUAAUAAUUUAUUUAAAUUUCUUCCCUAUUAACUUUUAAUAUUAGAGUAGUAUUCUAGUAUAGUUAUAAUAAGUAAUAGAAGGUUAAAGCUUAAUUCUAGAGAAGGAGCUUAAGAAAUAGCUAUUACAUCUAAGGAAAAUAAUAGAUAUGUAAAUUACCUAAUUUUAAUAUAGGGAAGUAGUAAUAAUAAAUAUUAAUAUAAAGCUUUUUUAAGUUUUAUAAUUAGAAUAAGUAUAAUUUAAAUUUUUUAAUAAGGAAUAAUUAGAAAGUAAGUCUAGUACUAAUAGUUAUAAUAAUUCUAGUUCUAAUAGCAUAUAUUAAAGUUAUUAUAAUUAAAAAGUUUAUAAUAGAACUUUAAGCUUAGUUAGCUGGUCCGUUUUAUUAUAUAUAUUAGUCUGGCUAAACCUUUUUUUCUAUAGAACUAUAUACCUUUUACUAAGUAUACUAGGGAAAUAGGAUUUUUAUUUUAAAAAAAUUAGAGUGUUCUAGGUAAGUUUAUACUUAAAUAUAUUAGUAUAGAAUAAUAGAAUAAGAUAUAUAAUUCUAUUUUAUUAGUUUCUAAGAUUGUUAUAAUAAUUAAUAGGGAUAGUUAGAAGUAUUAGUAUUUAAUUAUUAGAAGUGAAAUUCUUAGAUUUAUUAAAGACUAACUAUUAUGAAAGUAUUUACUAAGGAUAUUUUUAUUUAUUAGGAAUGAAAGUUAGGGGAUUAAAGAUAAUUAGAUAUUAUUAUAGUUUUAACUAUAAACUAUACUGAUUAGAGAUUAAAUAAAAUUAUUUUUUAACUUAUUUAAUACCUUAUAAGAAAUUAAAAUGCUUAGGUUCUA
rnacentral:ncRNA from 1 species